AACGUAGGGGGCCAGCGUUGCUCGGAAUUACUGGGCGUAAAGGGUCCGUAGGCGGUGUGGCAAGUCGGAAGUGAAAUCUCUGGGCUUAACCCAGAGGCUGCUUCCGAAACUGCUGUGCUAGAGUGUGAGAGAGGCGAGUGGAAUUGCGGGUGUAGCGGUGAAAUGCGUAGAUAUCCGCAGGAACAUCCGAGGCGAAAGCGGCUCGCUGGAUCACAACUGACGCUGGGGGACGAAAGCUAGGGGAGCAAACAGG
rnacentral:rRNA from 1 species